CUGUCCAAGGUGCGCACCUGUUUAAAAAUAUACAUUUAUUAUUAAUAAAACAUUUUUUUAGUACACGUGUCCACGUCAGUAUUUUAAUAAUAUUAUAUUUUCAUGCUUUUAGUGAAGAAUUGUUUUACUAUCAGUCAUAUUUUAAAACGGGCAGUUUCGAAAUAACCAAAGAAAACAACGAUUCUAAACCGGAACGUGCGUGAAGGAAUCAACUGUAGUUCUCUUUUAUAGCGGUUUAAAAUGUAUCUAAAAGUAUAUACGGGUGUUUGCAAUAAUUUAAUCUCAGACGUAGAAAUAUAACCAAGAUUCACGACGACCAUUGUAUUGAUAGAGCAGUUGUUUAAAUAAAAGAGCAGCGUCAGUUUUGGAAAUAUCACAUUUUAUAUUUGUGUCAGUUUUUAGUUAAGUAAAUUGGAAAAUUACAAGCGGUGUGUAUUUCAGUAUGCUAACGUGACGUUUUUCAGCAGGUUUCAUUUGAUUUUAUGAAGCAGAAUUAGUUAACACUCAAUUCAACCCCUCGACAGCAGUUCUACUAAAUGUCCACACGAGGGCAGCAUUGGAUAGGAAAUGAAAGCUAAAGCCUCGUCUGUCUCCCUGAAGUUCGCUACCAAUUGUAAAGAGCAGAGGACAGCUCAGCCGGAGGCGUGUGUCUGUGUGAAACGACUUUAUUUCAUGUGAUAAGUUUGUGGAAGAAGGACGCCAUGUGAGGAGGCGUUUGCUCUUGUUUUACACAAACUACGAGGGACAGCGCUCGUUAAACCAGGUCUGUGAGGAUGAGAAGGUCUCCACAGUCUGGAGUCUGGUCUCUGACAGGCUCAACAUACCUGUCAAUCAACAGGGACUCCUCUACAAAGGCAAGGCGCUGGCAGGUAGGCUGAACAGCACAGCACAGCACAGCACAGCUCACCCCUCCUCUCACCCCUCGCCUCACCCCGGGUCAGUGUGGCACAGCCUGCCUGCUCUUCUGAACAAACACUUCAGCCCUGCCGACGCAGUGAGAGUUUGGAGCAGCUACACGAGGAUUACGAGCGGAGGCUGCACUUGUUGAGCCUGGAUGAUAUGGAGCGGCUGGCGACUCACAUGCUUCACCCUGAGGCUGUGGAGUGCAUGGAGCUGUCCUUCCUGGAAUGAGGAAUAAUGCUGCUGCCCUCUCCCCUCCCCCCUCUCCUCUCCACCUCUCCCCUCUCCUCGCCAAGGAGUGGAGGUGAGGAGAGGGAGGAGAGAGAGGA